rnacentral:lncRNA from 1 species
AAACAGAUAAAAAAUUUCAGGUCUAAAUGGCUUAUAAUUUGGUAUGUCACCGAAAGAAAAGGGACUUUUUUUUUAGGCUCAAAAUGGUUUAGCAACGGAUAAAUAAUAAACAGGGUAGCUUGAAAAGGCUCAGAGUACCAAACAAAUAUGCCUCUAUGUGUGUAAAUGCAAAACCAAUCAACAGUAGAGAAUAAUUGCAAGUUCUAGAAAAUAUACAAAGCAUGGAUUCACUCAUAAGAUGUGAAAGAAAAAGUAUACCAUGGAAUUUAUUUGGCUCAAUAUGCUCACCAGCUGAGGUAUCUGAAGAUUGAACUAGUACACCGUGCAAAACUCCAUCUUUCCAAUUCAUCUCUUUGUCUCUUGACCAUUGCACUUCAUGAGCAAUCACACUGCAAUUAUUCUUGUAUGUGCAAGUCUAAGAGAUUUUCAUCAUGCAAAUUCAGUUAUUAACACACUGACAAUUCUGAAAAGACAUAAAAACAUUAAACUUGAUAAUAAACAAGACAACAGAAAGACGAAACACAAGGGAUUGUCAGCAAAUGACAUCAUUGAUAGUAUCUUUUUUGUUCUUUUUUCUUUUU